rnacentral:rRNA from 1 species
UAGCUAGUUGGUGGGGUAAGGGCCUACCAAGGCGACGAUCGGUAGCUGGUCUGAGAGGAUGACCAGCCACACUGGAACUGAGACACGGUCCAGACUCCUACGGGAGGCAGCAGUGGGGAAUAUUGGACAAUGGGGGCAACCCUGAUCCAGCAAUGCCGCGUGUGUGAAGAAGGCCUGAGGGUUGUAAAGCACUUUCAGUGGGGAGGAGGGUAGAUAGGUUAAGAGCUAAUUAACUGGACGUUACCCACAGAAGAAGCACCGGCUAACUCCGUGCCAGCAGCCGCGGUAAUACGGAGGGUGCGAGCGUUAAUCGGAAUUACUGGGCGUAAAGGGUGCGUAGGUGGUUGAUUAAGUUAUCUGUGAAAUUCCUGGGCUUAACCUGGGACGGUCAGAUAAUACUGGUUGACUCGAGUAUGGGAGAGGGUAGUGGAAUUUCCGGUGUAGCGGUGAAAUGCGUAGAGAUCGGAAGGAACACCAGUGGCGAAGGCGGCUACCUGGCCCAAUACUGACACUGAGGCACGAAAGCGUGGGGAGCAAACAGGAUUAGAUACCCUGGUAGUCCACGCUGUAAACGAUGUCAACUAGCUGUUGGUUAUAUGAAAAUAAUUAGUGGCGC